GACGAACGCUGGCGGCGUGCUUAAUACAUGCAAGUCGAACGGAAAGGCCCUGCUUUUGUGGGGUGCUCGAGUGGCGAACGGGUGAGUAACACGUGAGUAACCUGCCCCUGACUUUGGGAUAACAUCUGGAAACUGGGGCUAAUACCGGAUAGGAGCUCCUGCUGCAUGGUGGGGGUUGGAAAGUUUCGGCGGUUGGGGAUGGACUAGCGGCUUAUCAGCUUGUUGGUGGGGUAGUGGAUUACAAAGGCUUUGACGGGUAGCCGGCCUGAGAGGGUGACCGGCCACAUUGGGACUGAGAUACGGCCCAGACUCCUACGGGAGGCAGCAGGGGGGAAUAUUGCGCAAUGGGCGGAAGCCUGAUGCAGCAACGCCGCGUGCGUGAUGACGGCCUUCGGGUUGUGAACCGCUUUCGCCUUUGCCGAAGCGUGCGUGACGGUAAUGAGUAAAGAAGCACCGGCUAACUACGUG
rnacentral:rRNA from 1 species